CAGUUGAAACGUCUGUGUGGUGCGUGUCACUACCCGACCCGUACCGCAAACACGUCGUGUUCCUGGUGAAGAUCAGACAACACGCUGUCUUUUCCCGCAGUUUUGGAAAUCAGCCAAUCAGAGAUUCCAACAGAGUUCAACAGAGUAGUGAGGAAAAAAUCGUGGAGAAACCUUCUUUGAUGCACUUGAUGGUUUCUCUCCAGGCCUCAUGGACCUCUUCAGGAACAAGAGAGGGACAUGAUCCUUCUACCUUAUUCCUCGAUGUUAAUGACAAGGACACAUACAGUGAAACUUGGGUGGGAAUCUCCUGCAUCAACGAAGAAAAUCUUCAGAUCAACCCAUCCAGAGUCGGGAUCCUCUUGGAAGGCAAUGUGGUAAUGGAUGAACUGUGAUCUGUGUCCUGUUUGGACUCAGUUGUGCUCUGCACCUGGACGACCCCAAGUCCAUGAAGAACACUGGCUUAUGUAUUCAGCAUGUUCAACCUUGGCAAAAGUACUUUGGCAUCCAAAAUUCAAGAAAAACCAGCUUGCAGCGUAAAGCGUGGUUCUGGUAUUGGUUCCUGAUGUAGAUGUUGCACUUUGAAAGAAACAGGUUUGUUCUAGCCGUUGUUCUUGAAUUUAGGCAUUCACUUACUUUAUAGUGAUUGCACACUAAUUUCAAUUUUUUCCCUUUACAUUUAUUUUACUAUUAUUAUUAUUAUUGUUGUUCAUUUUAUAUUCAUACAGCCUCAUUGGGUUUGACCAAAACUGUACUUUUUGUCAAAUGUCGCAGGCUUUUAGAGCAUGUUUGUCAUUUUAGUCACUGUAUCAUUGCAACAUUUAAAAAAGAAAAAAAUUCCACUGUUUAGUCAGACAUGCUGUGGAAUUUGAUUUUCAUCCAGGGCAAGAAUUAACAAAAAUAAAGUUAGUUAACCUCUUGAAUGUUUCCUGAUUUGUAAUCUGAAAUACAAUGGAAAAAUUCAACGUUUUUGGUUUGGUUUUCUUCAAUUUUAUAUUUCUGUGUACAGUAUGUUUUGCACAUGGGUUAAAUCGACAUAUAUAUUAAGAAAUUGUAGCAGUUGUAAUAUAUUUAAAGUUGAAUCUGCUUUGAUUAAAUAUAUUGAACUUAAUAUACUAAGUGUAAUAACAGAGCAAACAUUUGGUAUUACACAAGAUCUGAACCAACUUUAAUGUUAGUAUAUUAAAUUGAAUAAACAUUGUUGU